CCUGUCCCGCUGAGGUCAGGAUGGGCAGCAAUGCGUGACUAGAUCCUGUAUUGCACUCGUCCCGGCCUUAGCGAGAUUUA
rnacentral:pre_miRNA from 1 species